GAGAGAGAGAGAGAGUGCGUGUGUUAGGUGUGAGUUAGGCUGUUUUGCAGGUGAGGAGUGGUAGCGUCGUCGAUCGAUCAUUUCUUCUGGCCUCAGCUCUUCUUCUUCUUCUUCGAUCUCAACUGCUUGCUUCAGAUCAGAUCAGAACCCUUUCAAGCUGCCAAUGGAGGUUUUUGGUAAAUCCAUGAUGUCUGCUCCUGCCAAUGUUGUUUAUCUCUCCACUAUCCUCGGCCUUGAUGGCCCAAUUCCUGUCCACAAAUGUGACUGCAAGUGUCAGAAUGAACAUGUCUUUGGCAACAUGUACCGUUGCAGGCUCACUGGUCUCACUCACAUCUGUGACAAGAACUGUAACCAGAGAAUUUUGUAUGACAACCAUUCUUCCCUUUGCCGGGCUAGUCGCCAGAUUUUCCCCCUUUCCCCAGCUGAGGAGCAGGCUGUCAGAGGAGUUCGCAGGAAGCUCGAUGCUGAGAAUAGCAGUGCUCCCACUGAUAGCUGUUCUUUCAAGCGCAGGCGUGAUGCACAGUUUCAUCCUUCUCCUUUCGAGAGAUCUUUCUCUGCUGUCAGUCCAAUCUGCAGCCAAGUUGGAGAUGGCAUGGAUAUGAGCUAGAUAUAAUAUAUCGGGUUGGAGUUUAUACAAUUCAGGAGACUUUAAAUAAACCUUUCUGUUGUGAUUAAUGAAUUGUUUUGUUUGAGAAUAUUUCUGACAAUAUAAAGCCUAAAAGGGAGUUUAUUUUAUCCUUUACAGGAAUUCUGUCAUUUCUUGCUGUGGUGAAUGAUGCUGCGUAGAACUGCUGAUGGAUUGAGAAGAUGCUGCACUUAUCUGCAGUUCACCCCUCCAUUGUUGAAGAAUUGAAAUUGAGAUGCAUGAUCGACUUAUAUUGACUGCUGGUUUGUUUUUUAAUAGAUCAGCGCCUCUGCUUUAUGAUACAGAUGGAACUUAAUUGGUAGGACUAUCGGGCUGUGAAUGCGGAGGCAAAAGGAAGUUUUAUAUUUUUGGUGAGCUUUGAAGCCUCGAAGAGCAGCUAGCUAAGUUGUAAGUAGCGCUGGCUUUAACCUCGUGAUGCGUCGAUGCCAAGCGAAGGCUUCGGCAUCAGGAAUGAAGAUGAGAACAAUCUGCAAGUCCACAUGGGGCUACCCCUAUCAUGGUUACUUGUUAAUGGUGUUAGAGGGAGUUGAGCUUUUUGUAUCUGGGCUGGUCUGAAGCUCCUGAACAAGUACAUAGCGUCCCCUUCUGGUCUGAAACCAUCCUGUUCUCCCCUUCUGGUCUGAAACCAUCCUGUUCUCGCCUCUCUUUUUUUUUUUCCCAAAUGGGGGGAGAUUGUUGCAUUUUGCGUAAGCACUUUUUUCCACGAAUUCUGAUAAUGGCCAAGAAAGAAUGCUUUUCCUUGUUUCUCGUCAA